AAUUAACCCAAUCUAUUCAAGACAAAAAAUUUUAAAAAAUGAACAAAGCCUCUAAGAAAUUUGGGACUGUUAAACGUCCAAACAUAAGAAUAAUUGGUGUUCCUGAGAAGAGAAAUCUCUCCCAGCAGGGCUACUGGGCUCUGGGGUGGCACUAGGGAGUAUUUGCGAAGAGUGCUCUGAUGUGAUCUGUCUUCAGAUCUUUCAGCUGUGGAUACCAACACCUACUCUGGUGGAGGUAGCAGAGGAGUGAACUGGACUCCCUUAGGGUCCUUGGUUGUGUUUUUGUUUAAUGCACUGGUUUUGUGUUGGUUGGCCUCCAGCCAGGAGGUGGUGCUUUCAAGAGCUCAUCAGCUGUGGUACCAUAGGGAGAAUGCAAACUUGCCCUAGGGUCACCUGGUUAAGUAUUCAGAUUUCUCAGGUGUGGUGAGCAGGGCCAUAGAGCUCCCAAGAGAUGAUGACCUUUGUCUUUGGCUACCAAGGCGGGUAGAGAAAGAACUCCAGGUUGGGUGCAGGGAUGGGUAUUUCUGGGCUCAGCCUCUCCUUGAGUGGGGCUUGCUGGGGCUGCUGUCGGGGAUGGGAGUGUGGUUCCCAGGCCGACGGAAUUAUGUUCCCAGGGGCAUUAUGGCUGCCUCUGCUGAGUCAUACAGGUCCCCAUGGAAGUGAAGGAAAGCCAGCAGUCAUAGGCCUCACCCUACUCCCAUGCAGCCUGCAGUCCUAAAGGCCAGUGUUACUCCCACUGUGCCCCCACCAACAGCACCGACUCUAUUUCCAGGCCGCUGGUGACCAGGGCUGAGAAGUUGCCCCAGACCAUGAGCCUCCCCACUGAUAAAGCAAGCCGACUCAGUUUUUCAGCCUCUCAGGGAGCCUGCAGUGGUGAUCAAGUUUCUUCAAAGGGUCUGUGGAUUCUCUCAGAUUUUCUGAUAUGUUCCUGGCAUAGUCCUUGGAACAAAAGUUCAUAAUGUGGGUCCUGACGGUCAAAUGCACUUCUAUCAUGGAAGCUGUGCUGAGAACAGUGUUACUACGAUGUCAUUGUACAGUAGUACAUAAUUUGGUAGUUGGAUAAUGGUAUUUAUAUUGGGACUUGAUACAAAAGUAAGCAUUUUAGAUUUGGCUCCAAACAUCUUCUAAGGAAACCACAGACAAUAAACAUGAAGCCAGUGGGCUGCAGGGGUCCAUGAUAGUGGUGUGGAGACUAGAAGGUGGACGCACAUCAGUGUGCAUAGUAAGUUGUUAUUUAGUAGUUACCUUAUGAUAUAUUUUCAUUGGGUAAAUAUGAAUCUAUAAAGAAAUAUCAGAAUCUAAUAUAGAAAUAUACACUUUCUAUUAAAAAGCUUUCCUAAGUACUGAGGUGCUGGGCAGGUGGCCCUCUUCUGUCUCUGGUCUAUUACCCUCUCCUCAGGGUGAAGCAUUCUCUCUAGGAAUCCAGUCACUCUACUUAUUUACUCUACUCACUAUUCUUAAAAAAAAGAAGACAGAAAAAGAAAUAGAAAUUGUGUUGUCUUCUGUUCAUGGAUGAUGUGAUGUCUGGUUUCUAUUAAAUAUAAGAAUAUUAUGAUUGAAAUGAAAGUAUUUUGUAACAUAAAUAUUGCUACAAGAAAAGAAUCCCAAAAUGAGCUGAAAAUUUUUAUAUUAACAGCUUCAGAACAUAUGAAUGUAUUUAACCUAGUGCUUCUGAAUACUAAAAAAUUUAGGAUAAACAUACUUGAAACAUCUGUCUUAUAGAAAAUAUAAGUAAUUUAGAUUCUUGAUAAACAUUAUGCAUUGCAUUUUUAAAACACGGAUGAAUAAGAGCACUUAUUUUAAAUGCAGUGCUCAUAGAAUGUUUCCAAAUUUUUAGAAGUAGAUUAGUGGUGCAUAAAAUUAGCAUAAGGGUCCUUUAGUUUCUCCUCUCUGUGUCUUAGGCAAUUCUUGAUUGGUCAUGCUUUUUGUUUAUUUUGCAGUCUAGUGACUUUCACUUUUGACUAGAGUGUCUGUCCUUGUUCAAUGUCAAAUUCACUUUAAUUUCCCUUUUAUUAUUGACGUUUGUAUCAGUAAUUUCUAAAUCUUUCAAAAAAUCAUAUGCAAAUAAAAAGCAGUCUUUGGUUCCUUAUAAAUGCCUCAAACACUUUCUAAAACUAUAAAAAGAAUGCAAGUUAUUCUUCAGGGCAAAGAAAAAGGCAUAAUUGUUUUCUCUCAAGUCUUUUUAAAACCACAAAAAUAUGUAACCCAUUUAAAUUGCAGACAUUUCAAGUGACACCUGUUUCUGAUUUGACCACGUCAUUUUCCACUCUCUGUAGCACAACUGAAAGCUGAAGAACGUUUUGAACUAAGUGAGUGACAAAGGCAAUUAAAAAAAGAAACUGGCACAAUUUAGAAAGGGAGAAAAAUUCUCUAAUGAGAAUAAAAUCUGGCUAAGGGGUUGUGCGUUUUGAGUGGUUAUUCCAAAUGCUUCGGUAUCUGCCCUGUUGCCUUCCUUGGUGCCUGGGGUACCUGGAGGGGGUGUGGUUUUAGUGUGGGCAUCGCCACUCCUUCAGGAAGACUCUUGGGUUGAAGAACUGGGGAAAAGUGGUAAUAUCUGGACAAAGUGCCCUCACCCCAUCCUGCCGCCUCAGUGCAAUGCUCCUGGUGCUCACAGCAUCCCAGGAGACAAAGGACUAUUCUAGACAUAUAGAUCUGAGGUCAAGUCCUACCUCUGCUCUUGAUUAUUCUAGGACAUUAAGGCUCACAUAAUCACUCUGAUAAUUAGUUUUAGAAUGGGUACAAAUUAUCUAAUGGGUGCCCAUUAGAAUGGGUGCAAAUUAUUGCCCUUGACAUAUUUAUACUGCUGAUUAAAGUGAAAUAACAGUUGCUUUGGAAAAAGGUAACAAUAUGAUUAAAUAAAUUAUUCCAGUACUUUAAAUCUGAGUAAAACUCUCUGCAUGGGGUAGGUUCUUAAGAAAUAUUUGGUGACUGAUGGCCCAAAGCGAAAGUUAUUACUCAACUUCAUGUUUCAUCUCUGGCCCACAUGACCCAGUGGGGGCCCUCAGGGAGUGUGAAUGAGUAAAUGGGUGGGGUAGGGUGGUGUGGGAUGAGGUGGCAGUGUUCACAGUAACUAGGGUGAAGCCAUUGUCCACCUUGGUUUUGCCUCCUGGGACCCAUUUUCCAUAAGCUGCAUUGCAGCAAGUCUUUUGUGAAUCCCAUAAAGAGAAAAAAAUUCAAUCUAAAUUUGAUUGCUGCUGAUAAAGCACUCUUUUGGAGCUUUUAUUUGCUAUACUUUACAAAAGGAUAUAAUUUUCCAUGACACAAAUUAAUACAGUUCAAAAGCUUAUUAAGACCCACAUAAUACUCCUAGAUUUUGUCUACAAAAUUCAAGGGUUUCUUAGAAGAUUUUUAGGAGCUAUACAAGUUCUUAUUUCUCCUUAAUAUAAGUACAUGUUGCAAUAUAAUCAACUUUACCAAAUUACAAUGCUCCUUUCACAUUUUUGUGUAAAAAGGGAACCACUGAGAUUGAUGUUUUAUUCUUUGUCAUUGCUAUAUCUUGCCCAAAACUCUGUUAUAAAACCAAUGAGCUAUAUUUUGUUUGUUUUAUUUACAUGUCUGUCUCCACUAGACUGUAAACUCUUAAAGGGGAAGACUCUAUCUUAUUUAUCUGUUUAAAUCCUGCAAUGCUAGCACAUAAUUGUUCCACAUCAAUGUAGACUCAACGAAUGAAUGAAUCAUUUAAUUGACUACCAAACUGAUCACUUUAAAAAUAAGUUUAAUAAGAGGGACAACAUAUAAAAUAAUAUCUAACACUGAAGUAAAUUUACUGAGUAACCUUCUCAUUUUUCACUUCCAUUUUAGUGGAAUUGUAAAAAAGUUUGAAGAGAUCUAUUCCCAUUAAGUUUUAAAAAUAUAUAAUAUGAACUGGCUUAGGCAUUCUUGCUCCUUCUAGUAAGACCAUACCAAAAAUGUUUCUCAGCUAUUUUCUUUGCUUGCUUCCUCUCCCAUUGCUUCUCCUGCUUGCAAAAGCAAUGUCUGAACAUAAUUCUGACCCACGGGAAUGGGUAAGAAGGGGAAGCCACUAGGAGAAUGAUUAUU
rnacentral:lncRNA from 1 species